AGAUAAUCCAGAUUAAUUCACCAGAUAAUCCAGGUUUAUAUCAGUUAGUUUACCAGAUAAUCCGAGUUUAUAUCAGUUUACCAGAUAAUCCAGAUUAGUUCACCAGAUAAUCCAGGUUUAUAUCAGUUUACCAGAUAAUCCAGGAUUAUAUCAGUUUACCAGAUAAUCCAGAUUAGUUCACCAGAUAAUCCAGGUCUACAUCAUUUUACCAGAUAAUCCAGAUUAGUUCACCAGAUAAUCCGGGCUAGUUUACCAGAUAAUCCAGGUUUAUAUCAGUUUACCAGAUAAUCCAUGUUUAUAGCAGUUGACCAGACAAUCCAGGUUAGUUCAUCAGAUAAUCCAGGUUAGUUUACCAGAUAAUCCAGGUUUAUAUCAGUUUACUAAAUAAUCCAGGUU
ensembl:lncRNA